rnacentral:RNase_P_RNA from 1 species
AUAACCGGAUGGCUGCCUUUAUUUAUGUGUAUAGAUUGAGGAGGAAAGUCCGGGCUCCACGGAAACAUGGUGCCGGGUAACACCCGGCGGGGGUGACCCUAGGGAAAGUGCCACAGAGAGCAGACCGCCGGUGCAGUGUUGUGCACCGGUAAGGGUGAAAGGGUGUGGUAAGAGCGCACCGCACCACCGGUAACGGUGGUGGCAUGGUAAACCCCACCAGGAGCAAGACCAAGUAGGAGCGGCAUGGGCCGUUAGUCCGUGCCCAAUUUUGGUUUCCGAAAACGCCGCUCGGGUCGGUCGCACGAGACACUCGGUGACGGGUGUUCUAGAUGAAUAGUCAUCCCCUACUUCGGUGGGGACAGAACCCGGCUUAUAGGUUAUCU